UGGAAACGGCAGGGCCUCCCGACUUUGGAAAGGUGAACAAUGUUACA
rnacentral:sRNA from 1 species